rnacentral:piRNA from 1 species
UGAACUGGGAAAACUCGGUGUAGAUCAAGGU